rnacentral:rRNA from 1 species
UGGGGAAUUGUUCGCAAUGGGCGCAAGCCUGACGACGCAACGCCGCGUGGAGGAUGAAGAUCUUCGGGUCGUAAACUCCUUUCGAUCGAGACGAAUGGCCUCCGGGUUAACAGUCCGGAGGAAUGACGGUACCGAGAGAAGAAGCCCCGGCUAAUUCCGUGCCAGCAGCCGCGGUGAUACGGGGGGGGCAAGCGUUGUUCGGAAUUACUGGGCGUAAAGGGCUCGUAGGUGGCCAACUAAGUCGGACGUGAAAUCCCUCGGCUUAACCGGGGAACUGCAUCCGAUACUGGAUGGCUUGAGUUCGGGAGAGGGAUGCGGAAUUCCAGGUGUAGCGGUGAAAUGCGUAGAUAUCUGGAGGAACACCGGUGGCGAAGGCGGCAUCCUGGACCGACACUGACGCUGAGGAGCGAAAGCCAGGGGAGUAAACGGGAUUAGAUACCCCGGUAGUCCUGGCCCUAAACGAUGAAUGCUUGGUGUGGCGGGUAUCGAUCCCUGCCGUGCCGAAGCUAACGCAUUAAGCAUUCCGCCUGGGGAGUACGGUCGCAAGGCUGA